AGAGUUUGAUCCUGGCUCAGGACGAACGCUGGCGGCGUGCCUAAUACAUGCAAGUCGAACGAAACUUUCUUACACCGAAUGCUUGCAUUCACCGUAAGAAGUUGAGUGGCGGACGGGUGAGUAACACGUGGGUAACCUGCCUAAAAGAAGGGGAUAACACUUGGAAACAGGUGCUAAUACCGUAUAUCUCUAAGGAUCGCAUGAUCCUUAGAUGAAAGAUGGUUCUGCUAUCGCUUUUAGAUGGACCCGCGGCGUAUUAACUAGUUGGUGGGGUAACGGCCUACCAAGGUGAUGAUACGUAGCCGAACUGAGAGGUUGAUCGGCCACAUUGGGACUGAGACACGGCCCAAACUCCUACGGGAGGCAGCAGUAGGGAAUCUUCCACAAUGGACGCAAGUCUGAUGGAGCAACGCCGCGUGAGUGAAGAAGGUUUUCGGAUCGUAAAGCUCUGUUGUUGGUGAAGAAGGAUAGAGGUAGUAACUGGCCUUUAUUUGACGGUAAUCAACCAGAAAGUCACGGCUAACUACGUGCCAGCAGCCGCGGUAAUACGUAGGUGGCAAGCGUUGUCCGGAUUUAUUGGGCGUAAAGGGAACGCAGGCGGUCUUUUAAGUCUGAUGUGAAAGCCUUCGGCUUAACCGGAGUAGUGCAUUGGAAACUGGAAGACUUGAGUGCAGAAGAGGAGAGUGGAACUCCAUGUGUAGCGGUGAAAUGCGUAGAUAUAUGGAAGAACACCAGUGGCGAAAGCGGCUCUCUGGUCUGUAACUGACGCUGAGGUUCGAAAGCGUGGGUAGCAAACAGGAUUAGAUACCCUGGUAGUCCACGCCGUAAACGAUGAAUGCUAGGUGUUGGAGGGUUUCCGCCCUUCAGUGCCGCAGCUAACGCAAUAAGCAUUCCGCCUGGGGAGUACGACCGCAAGGUUGAAACUCAAAGGAAUUGACGGGGGCCC
rnacentral:rRNA from 1 species